rnacentral:rRNA from 1 species
UACGGGGGGGGCAAGCGUUGUUCGGAAUUACUGGGCGUAAAGGGCUCGUAGGUGGCCAACUAAGUCAGACGUGAAAUCCCUCGGCUUAACCGGGGAACUGCGUCUGAUACUGGAUGGCUUGAGUUCGGGAGAGGGAUGCGGAAUUCCCGGUGUAGCGGUGAAAUGCGCAGAUAUCGGGAGGAACACCAGCGGCGAAGGCGGCACUCUGGGCUGGUACGUGACGCUGAGGAGCGAAAGCGUGGGUAGCAAACGAG